rnacentral:rRNA from 1 species
AGGGACAGGUGGUGCAUGGUUGUCGUCAGCUCGUGUCGUGAGAUGUUGGGUUAAGUCCCGCAACGAGCGCAACCCUUGAUCUUAGUUGCCAGCAUUCAGUUGGGCACUCUAAGGUGACUGCCGGUGACAAACCGGAGGAAGGUGGGGAUGACGUCAAAUCAUCAUGCCCCUUAUGACCUGGGCUACACACGUGCUACAAUGGACAGAACAAAGGAGGUUAAGCCAAUCCCACAAAUCUGUUCUCAGUUCGGAUCGCAGUCUGCAACUCGACUGCGUGAAGCUGGAAUCGCUAGUAAUCGC